GGAGGAUGCGAGCGUUAUCCGGAUUUAUUGGGUUUAAAGGGUCCGUAGGCGGGUUAAUAAGUCAGCGGUGAAAACCUGCAGCUUAACUGUAGAACUGCCGUUGAUACUGUUAAUCUUGAAUAGUAUUGAAGUAGCUGGAAUGUGUAGUGUAGCGGUGAAAUGCAUAGAUAUUACACAGAACCCCGAUUGCGAAGGCAGGUUACUAAAUACCGAUUGACGCUGAUGGACGAAAGCGUGGGGAGCGAACAGGAUUAGAUACCCUGGUAGUCCACGCCGUAAACGAUGGAUACUCGUUGUUGGGGGUAACCUCAGUGACUAAGCGAAAGUAAUAAGUAUCCCACCUGGGGAGUACGACCGCAAGGUUG
rnacentral:rRNA from 1 species